GAUGAACGCUAGCGGCGCGCUUAAUGCAUGCAAGUCGAGCGAUGAGGCCCCUUCGGGGGCACAUCAGCGGCAGACGGGUGAGUAACACGUGGAUGACCUGCCCCGAAGACGAGGAUAACGGAUGGAAACAUGCGCUAAUACUCGAUAGGCUUAUACGGUCAAAGGUAUAAGUAAAGCUCCGGCGCUUUGGGAGGGGUCUGCGGCCUAUCAGCUAGUUGGUGAGGUAACGGCUCACCAAGGCGAAGACGGGUAGGGGGUGUGAGAGCACGACCCCCCACAAUGGGACUGAGACACGGCCCAUACUCCUACGGGAGGCAGCAGCAGGGAAUAUUGCACAAUGGACGGAAGUCUGAUGCAGCGACGCCGCGUG
rnacentral:rRNA from 1 species